GGAGGCUGGCGGCUGGCGGCGCUGCCCGCCUCUGACGGGGGCCCGCGGCCGAGAAGUGAAGGGUGUAUUGCAUGCGAAGCACCGCCUGUGUGGGCAGAUGAGACCUCCUGUGUGUGGGGACCCCAGCACAGCCCUUGCCUGUGUCUGCAGUGUGACCUCAGGUAUGUGCAUUUGACUGGGCAUGUUACCGCUGGUGCAUGUCAGAGAAGAGUGUAUUGCAUGUGUGACACCAUUUGUGUUUUUU
rnacentral:lncRNA from 1 species